rnacentral:rRNA from 1 species
CCCUUUGGGUGUGACUGCGUACCUUUUGUAUAAUGGGUCAGCGACUUAUAUUCUGUAGCAAGGUUAACCGAAUAGGGGAGCCGGAGGGAAACCGAGUCUUAACCGGGCGUUAAGUUGCAGGGUAUAGACCCGAAACCCGGUGAUCUAGCCAUGGGCAGGUUGAAGGUUGGGUAACACUAACUGGAGGACCGAACCGACUAAUGUUGAAAAAUUAGCGGAUGACCUGUGGCUGGGGGUGAAAGGCCAAUCAAACCGGGAGAUAGCUGGUUCUCCCCGAAAGCUAUUUAGGUAGCGCCUCGUGAAUUCAUCUCCGGGGGUAGAGCACUGUUUCGGCUAGGGGGCCAUCCCGGCUUACCAACCCGAUGCAAACUGCGAAUACCGGAGAAUGUUAUCACGGGAGACACACGGCGGGUGCUAACGUCCGUCGUGAAGAGGGAAACAACCCAGACCGCCAGCUAAGGUCCCAAAGUCAUGGUUAAGUGGGAAACGAUGUGGGAAGGCCCAGACAGCCAGGAUGUUGGCUUAGAAGCAGCCAUCAUUUAAAGAAAGCGUAAUAGCUCACUGGUCGAGUCGGCCUGCGCGGAAGAUGUAACGGGGCUAAACCAUGCACCGAAGC